rnacentral:rRNA from 1 species
UGGGGAAUAUUGGACAAUGGGCGAAAGCCUGAUCCAGCCAUGCCGCAUGAGUGAAGAAGGCCUUUGGGUUGUAAAGCUCUUUUAGUGAGGAAGAUAAUGACGGUACUCACAGGAGAAGUCCUGGCUAACUCCGUGCCAGCAGCCGCGGUAAUACGGAGAGGGCUAGCGUUAUUCGGAAUUAUUGGGCGUAAAGGGCGCGUAGGCUGGUUAAUAAGUUAAAAGUGAAAUCCCGAGGCUUAACCUUGGAAUUGCUUUUAAAACUAUUAAUCUAGAGAUUGAAAGAGGAUAGAGGAAUUCCUGAUGUAGAGGUAAAAUUCGUAAAUAUUAGGAGGAACACCGGUGGCGAAGGCGUCUAUCUGGUUCAAAUCUGACGCUGAAGCGCGAAGGCGUGGGGAGCAAACA